ensembl:snoRNA
GGGAUCAGUGAGGAUGGCCGGAAGCAUAGGAGUCAAGGAUGAUGAAAAUAUGUGUCUGGAACCCUGACUUCUCA